CAACACUGCCGCAUGACGGCACAAUACAUACAAGCCGCAGCCAACUUCACUUCGAUGUAUAUUGGGAGUGACUAAGUUUCGUUGUAAAAAGUGUGUGAGCUGCGAGAAACGCAUAAAGAAAUCGGCGGUGCGCAGGAAUUAUUGGAUUUUGCGACACGGCAUUGAAACCUAAAGGCACGGAUCUGGAGUAACCAGGAGGGACACAGCCAGGCGCGAGCGAUAGCAAAACAAAUUCAGAGAAAAUGGGUGCAAGAGAAGACGAAUACGAUUAUCUGUUCAAAGGUAAUUAUAAACAUGACAUGGCCUGGCCACUACCGGCGGAGGAGCCAACGGACGGUCGGUCUUUCAGGCUCUUUCUCUCUCUUCGCCAUGGACACAAUGGCACUAAUUGAAACUAAUUGGAGAAUAACAAAAAGUGCAGUCAUGUCGGUUGGUGAACAAAAAACCCAAAGUUCAUUUGCUGGUCUGGUCUGGUGUGUGUGAUUAAUUCCCAAAAAUAAGUCCAAAGAAGUACGCCCCCUGAGUUAGUUCUUCUUCAUGUUGUUGUUGUUGCUGUUGGUGUUGCAGCAGUUGGAUGCCCUUUUUCUCGCGCUCUCUUUUGGGGGGGAAGAAGUAUGCGUACUGUGCCGUUAACUGUCUGUUUUGUCAUUACCGUCCGUCCCAUUGCUCUCGCCACGUUGCAUACAAAAGGUAAAAAAAAAAAAGCUAAAUCGUAUUUAUAAUCGCGAUAAAAGUAGUACGGCGAGUACGUUGUUUAGGGAGGAGUAUUAAAUAGUUAAACGCCCACUCUUUCGUGAUUAGAUUCCAAGCUAGUAUUAUUAUUUUUGUACAGCUGGCUUUUGCAUUCAGAUUUCUGCAGAUUUGAGAAUUCCAAACUCUCUCUCUCUCUCUCGCCGCGCUCUCUGUGUUUGAAACUCCAAUUGAGAGUGGAGAUACAGUGGGAAGAAAUGGAUAGUUCGCAGACAAAUCGUUACCACAACUUCCCACAUCUUUCUCCGCUUUCUGUUUAUGUUCGGGGUCAUCAAUUCUCAGUUCUCCUUUGUUCGGAAACUACUACGCCAUAAAUUUCAAUUGCGCUUAAAAAGUCUCGUAUCACAGCUGAGCUCAAGUCAUGCCAGUGGUUGAAUAUCAUUAAAGGAAAAGUAUACAGAGACUGGGCCAUCUUUUGUCAAAUAUUUAAACCCUUAUCUGUUUUUUAGGUCAAUUCAAGUAAGCAGCCAUGUGAACUUGUCAAUGUGUGACAUGCAUGAUGAUUCCUCAAAUUUCACACCCUACACGAUAUUGGCUAAGCAUGACUCAUAGAGCUAAAAAAAAAAA
rnacentral:sRNA from 1 species